UCCCAAUAGACGCUGUGAAUUGUGACCCAUUUUGAGUCUAGAAUCGAAGGACGAACAACAAAAGGGAUAUUUAUUGCGUUUGGGCAGCGUGUUGCGACUUUGGGUUGGUUUUGUCUCAACCAACAAACGCUUUUGUACUUCAUUUCUUAAGGUUGCGUUCUGAGGUUUCCCCAACCAACAAGCAACAACAAUGGCCUCUGCUUCCUUAAUCAACUCGUUGACUUGUUCUUCUCGUGCUCCAACUCAAUACAGUUUGGCCUUCACCACCACCCCUGCCACGUUACUCAGAUUUGCUAACAGCCACUGUGUGAGACCACUCGUGACGAGGAUUUCUUCACCUUCCCACGUUGUCUGCAAAGCAGUCUCUGUGAGGCCCCAAACCGAGAUUGACGGUCUCAACAUUGCUGAAGAUGUUUCCCAGGUCAGUUUCACUGUUUUGUCGCAACCUUUACAAUUCUGAGUGAUUCAAAUGCGCUUGUGAAUGUGUUGCUGGAAAACUCUUCGAUUUUCGCGAUUUCGUUUAUGCCCGAGAAAUCAACGUCGUGGAUAAAUAUUGAAUUGUUCGGUUCUUUUGCUGCUGACGUGGCACAGCUCAUAGGGAAAACGCCAAUGGUUUACCUGAACAAUAUCGUGAAGGGCUCUGUGUCCAAUAUUGCUGCAAAGCUUGAGAUUAUGGAGCCGUGUUGUAGUGUCAAGGACAGAAUAGGUUAUAGCAUGAUAAAUGAUGCUGAGCAGAGAGGAGUUAUAACACCUGGGAAGAGUAUUUUAGUGGAACCUACUAGCGGGAACACAGGAAUUGGUCUUGCCUUUAUAGCAGCUUCAAGAGGAUAUAAACUCAUUUUGACAAUGCCUGCUUCAAUGAGUUUAGAAAGGCGAGUUCUUUUGAAAGCAUUUGGAGCUGAGCUUGUUUUGACUGAUGCAGCAAAGGGCAUGAAUGGAGCAGUUCAAAAAGCUGAAGAAAUUUUAAAAAGUACCCCAAAUGCAUACAUGCUUCAACAAUUUGAUAAUCCUUCAAAUCCUAAGAUACAUUAUGAGACUACUGGCCCAGAGAUAUGGGAAGAUACAAGAGGCAAGGUAGAUAUUUUAGUUGCAGGAAUUGGAACUGGUGGAACUGUUUCUGGAGCUGGACAAUUCCUAAAACAACAAAAUUCGAAAAUACAGGUUAUUGGAGUAGAGCCUCUGGAAAGCAACAUACUUUCAGGUGGAAAGCCAGGACCUCACAAAAUUCAGGGUAUUGGGGCUGGUUUCGUGCCCAGGAAUUUGGAUCAAGAUGUGCUUGAUGAAAUUAUUGCGAUAUCAAGUGACGAAGCUGUUGAAACUGCAAAACAAUUAGCACUUCAGGAAGGCUUGCUGGUUAGUGCUCUAUGUUCAAAUUUUCAACUGUUUUUGUGAUUUGAGUUCUUUACGUUUUCCAGUGUGCAUAUCCUGUACUCUUGCACAGUUACAUGAAACAUGCCAAGGUUGCAUGAAUGAUCCUUAUUACACCCUAUUAUGAAGGGCAUAAGAACUUGUGUCUUAUUUAGCUUGCACAUUGGAGUUAGUUUUCUUCAAAUAUUAUGACAUCUCAAUUCUGACCCCAAAUGAAGAGUUUAUAUAUGUUGCUUUCAUACUUUGCCUCGUACUUGGUUACAUCAAUUGGAAAACAGGUAGGAAUUUCUUCAGGAGCUGCUGCUGCUGCUGCUUUGAAAGUUGGAAAGAGACCUGAAAAUGCAGGAAAGCUUAUUGCGUGGGCUGAUGUGUGAAGGACCUGAAAGGCUGAAUAUAGCUGGAUAUGUCUAUAAUGCUUGCUUAUGAAUGAUAAUGAGGAAUGAGGAAAAUAACAAAUGAAACGAUGAUUGUAGUAUUUAGGUUGAUGAUGGCAUUGGGGAUUAUAUGCUUUUGACCUGCUAUUAUUGGGGGUGAAGUUUGUUUCUCUUUCCUCUCAUUUCUUGUUUUGUUUGCUAAACUAUUGUCAUGUGAUCUUUUUUGUCACCUUUAUCUUUUUGAUAGACUUCAUUUAUUUUCAAAUUUAAAUAUAUAUUACUCUUGCAUUUUAAUGCAUAAAAUAUUUAUUUCUUGUAGGUUGUCUUCCCGAGCUUUGGUGAAAGAUAUUUAUCGACUGUUCUUUUUCAGUCAAUUCGAGAAGAAUGUGAGAAGAUGCAACCUGAGCCAUGAAACAACUUUGCUUGUUGUUACUUGUUUCGUACUCAUUCUCCAUGAGCAUUUGUAAGGCAUGACAAUGUGACAUGUCCAUGUUAUGUCUGUUUCUCAUUUUUGACAUUUAAGAAAUUAGAUAACUCUGUACAGGUCAUUGAUUUGACUUACAGCACAGAUUAAUGGCCCUUGAACAAGAGCUAUUUUCUACUCUCUUUCUGUAACAAUUUUCUGUCUUACAUUGUUAUUAAAAAA